GGAGUCAGACUGUGUCUGAACUGAGAGAGAAACUAGAAGACUUCCUUAAAGGAGAAUGGACCAAGAUCUCCACUACAGUGAAUAUAGUGGAUGUUGUACUGCCUCCAGAGCCCAAGACCAGAGAACAGUUGUUACAAUAUUCCUGUCAGCUCACACUGGACCCAAACACAGCACACACACAACUCUCUGUCUGAAGGGAACAGAAAGGUGACCUUUACAGGCCAAGUCCAACCAUAUCCUGACCAUCCAGACAGAUUCACCAACUACAGGCAGGUUCUGUGUAGAGAGGGUCUGUCUGGACGCUGUUACUGGGAGGUGGAGAGGACUGGUGAUGUUGAUACAGCAGUCUCAUAUAAAGACAUCAGCAGAACAGAGGAUGAUGGUGGAUUUGGAUACAAUAACAA